AUAAUGGAGUAAGUCAUAGCUGACUGGAUUGUUUAUAAAAACUAAAUGAUAUAAUUUAAAUGAAAGCCUUCCUAGCUAGGGUCAGGUAGCUAGGGCAUUGUAGUUAUAUUUUGCCCAACUGUUUCUCCUCUAGAAAUAUGAGCUAUUUAUGAGUAGGGAACGUGACUUAUUCACUCCUGUUUUUGCAAAGCACAGGAUCCUUGAAUAGUUGGUUCUACUCUCUAUCUCCAUGAGUUCCAUUGUUUUAUUUAUUUAUUUAUUUAUUGAGACAGAGUCUCACUCUGUCACCCAGGCUGGAGUGCAGUGGC
rnacentral:lncRNA from 1 species